GUCCUUAUGAAUUUAAUUUAAGGUUUGACCUGCCCACUGAAAUUAUUUGAAGGGCCGCAGUAAUUUGACUGUGCAAAGGUAGCAUAAUCAUUAGUUUUUUAAUUAAAAGCUUGUAUGAAGGGUUGGACGAGGUAAAUUCUGUCUCUAAUUAAUUUAAUAUAGAAUUUAAUUUUUAAGUUAAAAAGCUUAAAUUUUUUUAAAAGACGAGAAGACCCUAUAGAUCUUUAUAUUAUAAAUAUUAAUUUUAAUUAAGAAUAUUUUAUUUUUUAUUAUUUAUAAUAUUUUAUUGGGGUAAUAAAAAGAUUAAAUUAAUUCUUUUUUUAUUUUAACAUUAAUUAAUGAUUAUAUGAUCCAAUUUUAUUGAUUUAAAGAUUAAGUUACCUUAGGGAUAACAGCGUAAUUUUUUUAGAGAGUUCAUAUCGAUAAAAAAGUUUGCGACCUCGAUGUUGGAUUAAAAAUUAUCUUAGGUGUAGAAGUUUAAGAUUUUGGUCUGUUCGACCAUU
rnacentral:rRNA from 1 species